rnacentral:rRNA from 1 species
UACGAAGGGGGCUAGCGUUGUUCGGAAUCACUGGGCGUAAAGCGCACGCAGGCGGAUCGUUAAGUCAGGGGUGAAAUCCCGAGGCUCAACCUCGGAACUGCCUUUGAUACUGGCGAUCUUUGAGUCCGGGAGAGGUGAGUGGAACUCCGAGUGUAGAGGUGAAAUUCGUAGAUAUUCGCAAGAACACCAGUGGCGAAGGCGGCUCACUGGCCCGAUACUGACGCUGAGGUGCGAAAGCGUGGGGAGCAAACAGGG